GUGCUAAGCUAUCAGUAACUUCCAAGUGCUGCACAAGUCUAAUUUCAGGUGUUGCUGUUACCUGCAUAAUCUUCCGAACUAAUGCAACAGAGAAACCAGAUUUGAUCAGGAAAUCUGCAGAAGCUCCUGCGACGUAACCAGACAGAGCCAUGACUGCCCAAGUUGUUGACCACAUUAGCUACAAUGAUGGCCCACAUUUCGAUCUUCGACAGAAUUUCUCGUAAGGAUGGGAAUUUG